UGCUAAGAAAAGGAAUCGAACCUUUAUUUAAGCAUUU
rnacentral:tRNA from 2 species